rnacentral:rRNA from 1 species
UACAUAGGUGGCGAGCGUUACUCGGAAUUACUAGGCGUAAAGCGCGUGUAGGCGGGAGCUUAAGUCUGUCGUUAAAGCUCAAAACUCAACCCUGAAAUGUCGACGGAAACUGGGCUUCUUGAGUGCGGUAGAGGAGAUCGGAAUUCCAGGUGUAGCGGUGAAAUGCGUAGAUAUCUGGAAGAACGCCAAAGGCGAAGGCAGAUCUCUGGGCCGUUACUGACGCUGAGACGCGAAAGCUAGGGGAGCAAAC